GCUGGGUUUGGUGGCACAUGCCUGUAAUUCCAACAAUUUGGAAGGCUGAGACAGGAGGAUCACAAGUUCAAGGAGGCAUCCUCAGCAACUUAAUGAGAUCCUGUCUCAA
rnacentral:sRNA from 1 species